GACGAACGCUGGCGGCGUGCUUAACACAUGCAAGUCGAACGGAAAGGCCCUGCUUUUGUGGGGUGCUCGAUUGGCGAACGGGUGAGUAACACGUGAGUAACCUGCCCUUGACUUUGGGAUAACUUCAGGUAACUGGGGCUAAUACCGGAUAGGAUCUCCUGCUGCAUGGUGGGGGUUGGAACGUUUCGGCGGUUGGGGAUGGACUCGCGGCUUAUGAGCUUGUUGGUGGGGUAGUGGCUUACCAAGGCUUUGACGGGUAGCCGGCCUGAGAGGGUGACCGGCCACAUUGGGACUGAGAUACGGCCCAGACUCCUACGGGAGGCAGCAGUGGGGAAUAUUGCACAAUGGGCGGAAGCCGGAUGCAGCAACGCCGCGUGCGGGAUGACGGCCUUCGGGUUGUAAACCGCUUUCGCCUGUGACGAAGCGUGAGUGACGGUAAUGGGCAAAGAAGCACCGGCUAACUACGUG
rnacentral:rRNA from 1 species